rnacentral:rRNA from 1 species
CGGGUUGUGAGAGCAAGAGCCCGGAGAUGGAUUCUGAAACAUGAAUCCAGGCCCUACGGGGCGCAGCAGGCGCGAAAACUUUACAAUGCGGGAAACCGUGAUAAGGGGACACCGAGUGCCAGCGUCAUACGCUGGCUGUCCAGGUGUGUAAAAUACACCUGUUAGCAAGGGCCGGGCAAGACCGGUGCCAGCCGCCGCGGUAACACCGGCGGCCCGAGUGGUGAUCGUGAUUAUUGGGUCUAAAGGGUCCGUAGCCGGUUUGGUCAGUCCUCCGGGAAAUCUGAUAGCUCAACUAUUAGGCUUUCGGGGGAUACUGCCAGGCUUGGAACCGGGAGAGGUAAGAGGUACUACAGGGGUAGGAGUGAAAUCUUGUAAUCCCUGUGGGACCACCUGUGGCGAAGGCGUCUUACCAGAACGGGUUCGACGGUGAGGGACGAAAGCUGGGGGCACGAACCGGAUUAGAUACCCGGGUAGUCCCAGCCGUAAACGAUGCUCGCUAGGUGUCAGGCAUGGCGCGACCGUGUCUGGUGCCGCA